AGUGAACUAGUACCGUGAGGGAAAGGCGAAAAGAACCCCGGUGAGGGGAGUGAAAUAGACCCUGAAACCGCGUACGUACAAGCAGUCGGAGCUCUCUUCGGAGGGUGACGGCGUACCUUUUGUAUAAUGGGUCAGCGAGUUAUUGUCAGUAGCAAGGUUAACCGUUUAGGGGAGCCGUAGGGAAACCGAGUCUUAAUAGGGCGUUAGUCGUAGGUGGUAGACGCGAAACCAGGUGAUCUACCCAUGAGCAGGUUGAAGCGCGGGUUAUACCGCGUGGAGGACCGAACCCACUUGGGUUGAAAA
rnacentral:rRNA from 18 species